rnacentral:misc_RNA from 1 species
AUGAAUGAACAGUGCAAGGUAAUGGCGCUGAAUGCUUCAAAUUUAUGAUUUGUUGGGCUAUCUUAUUCGACCUUCUGGUGGCUUGUGGCGGGUGGGUAUUUUNNNAUUGCCAAUCACCCGGAGAAGAGUCGGGAAUUGAGUGAUGCUGAAUUGAGCAUCUUGGAUCCUUUUUGCAAAUUGUAGUACUGUGAAGAGCUCAGUGAACAUGUUUAGUUGUACCAUUCUUGUGCUGUUGGAAAACCCAAGCCAGAAAGCAUUAAUCAAAACAGUUGUUCUGUGUGAAUGGAAAUUUGUGUUAUUAAUCAAAUAGUUGAUGACUUGUGCAUCUUUGUUGUAAUUGUUUGGGA